CGCAUCUGUGCAUGCAGCAUAUCAAUAAGCGGAGGAAAAGAAACUAACAAGGAUUCCCCUAGUAACGGCGAGUGAGGCGGGAAGAGCUCAAAUUUGAAAUCUUCAAGGUUUUACCUUGACGAAUUGUAGUUUAAAGAAGUGUUUUCUGUUGAAGUUUUGGUAAAAGUUCUUUGGAAUAGGACAUCAUAGAGGGUGAGAAUCCCGUAUUUGACCAUUAUUUUCAGCUGUGUGAUACACUUUCAAAGAGUCGGAUUGUUUGGGAAUGCAGUCCAAAAUGGGUGGUAAAUUUCAUCUAAAGCUAAAUAUUGGCGAGAGACCGAUAGCGAACAAGUACCGUGAGGGAAAGAUGAAAAGAACUUUGAAAAGAGAGUUAAACAGUACGUGAAAUUGUCAAAAGGGAAGCGUUUGACACCAGUGUUGUUUUUCUCGAAAAUCAAUUAAAGAAUGCUCGAUUUAUGUAAGUUGCUUUAGACCUUAUAAGCUCACUGUACAGUUUUCGUGUCUUUUUUAAUGCACUUUUCAGUUUAACAAGUCAACAUCAAUUUCUUUGUUGUAAAAGGGUCAUUGGAAGGUGGCUUUCUUUUCGGAGAAAGUGUUUAUAGCCUUUGGCCUCUGCAAUCGAAGAGACUGAGGUCUGCAGCGUAGACUCUUCGGGGUUAGAUACAUUUGUGCUAAGUUAUGAGCUUUUUAUAGACAACUUGUUGACUAUAAUUAGUCUUGUAGCUUACUCGCUUAUGCUAUUUUACCUACGCUUAGGAUGUUGAUAGUCACAGCGUGUAC
rnacentral:rRNA from 1 species